rnacentral:rRNA from 1 species
GACGAACGCUGGCGGCGUGCUUAACACAUGCAAGUCGAACGGUGAAGCGCCUUCCUUUUUGGUGGGUGUGGAUGAGUGGCGAACGGGUGAGUAACACGUGAGUAACCUGCCCCCUUCUUCUGGAUAACCGCAUGAAAGUGUGGCUAAUACGGGAUAUUCUGUGUCUGUCGCAUGAUGGGUCUGGGAAAGAUAUUGUUUCGGUGGGGGAUGGGCUCGCGGCCCAUCAGCUUGUUGGUGGGGUGAUGGCCUACCAAGGCGGUGACGGGUAGCCGGCCUGAGAGGGUGGACGGUCACACUGGGACUGAGACACGGCCCAGACUCCUACGGGAGGCAGCAGUGGGGAAUAUUGCACAAUGGGCGCAAGCCUGAUGCAGCGACGCCGCGUGAGGGAUGGAGGCCUUCGGGUUGUGAACCUCUUUCGCCAGUGAAGCAGGCCUGCCUAGUUUGUGGGUGGGUUGACGGUAGCUGGAUAAGAAGCGCCGGCUAACUACGUG